AUACGGAGGGUGCGAGCGUUACUCGGAAUUACUGGGCGUAAAGGGCGCGUAGGCGGCUGGGCGAGUCUGGUGUGAAAGCCCAGGGCUCAACUCUGGAAGUGCACUGGAUACUGCCUGGCUUGAGUACCGGAGAGGAGGGGGGAAUUCCCGGUGUAGCGGUGAAAUGCGUAGAUAUCGGGAGGAAUACCGGUGGCGAAGGCGCCCCUCUGGACGGUUACUGACGCUGAGGCGCGAAAGCGUAGGGAGCAAACAGGAUUAGAUACCCUAGUAGUCC
rnacentral:rRNA from 1 species